GUACUCGUUUUACCAGUACAUAUAUUGAAAUUACAACCACACAGAAAAGGUUUGUAUAACCCCUAUAUGAGAAUGUUAUACAACUUUGUGAAACAUUCCAUAUUCUA